AGGCGUAAAUGAGUAAAUGAUGAAAAAGCAGAGGAGUUUCUAGCAAUUGUGAGCAUGCUCUGUUACUGCAGACACCAAAAUAAUUUCGCCAAGUGUGGGAGGAUUUUGGUGAUCCAGAACUGUUAAUUUAAAAAAUUGUUAAUUUGGAUUCAAAGGGAUCAAUAUUCCAGUUAAGCAGUUCAAAACCUGUUAAAGAAGAAAUAUUUUCAACAUGAAAGGCAUCUUUUUUAUUUGUGUUCUUACUAUGACAUUGUCCAGGAGGUCAAUUACUGUUAUUAUGUAUAAACAUAUUUAAUAUUUUAUUAAGAUUUAUUCAGGUCUUCUGAACUUUAUCUAGAAGAGCAAGUAGCUCCACUAUUUAACAGACUUAGGCUUUGAAAAUGGGGUUUAAUAUCUCAUGACAUCUAAUACCUACAGAUCAGCCUUUCAAGAAAACGAUACCAGGAAUUUUGCAGAGAACCAGUUUUCAGGCCGACUAUUUGUUUCCAAGACAGCAUAAAUCACCAAGUGUCACUGAGAAAGCGAGGAGGAAAACAGAAAGGAGCACCAGGGAGAGCACUGCAAGAGCUCUUCCAAAGCAUGCAAAGCUUUCUAUGAAUUGUGAAAUUAAGAUGACAGUGUUACAGAAAUGAAGGAAACAUGGAACAUUUGAAGGCCCACUGACUGCAUAUGAGAAGAUAGCAGAGAAAAGCAGCAACCAUCAUAUGCCUUAAGAAAAUGCUAGCAUUAAACACAGCCAUGUUUUCCUCUAGAAGAUGCACAAGUCCCAAGAAAGACAGUCUGCAACUUGCAUGCAGCUGUGACAGAUUGCUGUGUAAGUGAUCUGUGCAAGACUAAGAACUUUCCUUCACAGCAAGUCUAACAACAUUUUAAAAAAUGCCUUUAUAUCUGUAAAGGAAAAAGAAGAAGGUGGGGGUGAAGCUGCCUCAUAAGGUUUUCAGAGAGCU
ensembl:lncRNA